GUCGAGCGGAAUGAUGAGAGCUUGCUCUCUGAUUUUAGCGGCGGACGGGUGAGUAACACGUGGGCAACCUGCCCUACAGAUGGGGAUAACUCCGGGAAACCGGGGCUAAUACCGAAUAAUCAGUUUGUCCGCAUGGACAAACUCUGAAAGACGGUUUCGGCUGUCACUGUAGGAUGGGCCCGCGGCGCAUUAGCUAGUUGGUGGGGUAAUGGCCUACCAAGGCGACGAUGCGUAGCCGACCUGAGAGGGUGAUCGGCCACACUGGGACUGAGACACGGCCCAGACUCCUACGGGAGGCAGCAGUAGGGAAUCUUCCACAAUGGACGAAAGUCUGAUGGAGCAAUGCCGCGUGAGCGAAGAAGGUUUUCGGAUCGUAAAGCUCUGUUGUAAGGGAAGAACACGUACGGGAGUAACUGCCCGUGCCAUGACGGUACCUUAUUAGAAAGCCACGGCUAACUACGUGCCAGCAGCCGCGGUAAUACGUAGGUGGCAAGCGUUGUCCGGAAUUAUUGGGCGUAAAGCGCGCGCAGGCGGUUCUUUAAGUCUGAUGUGAAAGCCCACGGCUCAACCGUGGAGGGUCAUUGGAAACUGGAGAACUUGAGUACAGAAGAGGAAAGCGGAAUUCCACGUGUAGCGGUGAAAUGCGUAGAGAUGUGGAGGAACACCAGUGGCGAAGGCGGCUUUCUGGUCUGUAACUGACGCUGAGGCGCGAAAGCGU
rnacentral:rRNA from 1 species